rnacentral:misc_RNA from 1 species
GAUGAAGAACGCAGCGAAAUGCGAUAAGUAAUGUGAAUUGCAGAAUUCAGUGAAUCAUCGAAUCUUUGAACGCACAUUGCGCCCGUCAGUAUUCUGGCGGGCAUGCCUGUUCGAGCGUCAUUACGCCCCUCAAGUCCCCUGUGGACUUGGUGUUGGGGAUCGGCGAGGCUGGUUUUCCAGCACAGCCGUCCCUUAAAUUAAUUGGCGUUCUCGCCGUGGCCCUCCUCUGCGCAGUAGUAAAACACUCGCAACAGGAGCCCGGCGCGGUCCACUGCCGUAAAACCCCCCAACUUUUUAUAGUUGACCUCGAAUCAGGUAGGACUACCCGCUGAACUUAAGCAUAUCAAUAAGCGGAGGA